rnacentral:rRNA from 1 species
GAUGAACGCUAGCUACAGGCUUAACACAUGCAAGUCGAGGGGUAACGAGAGGGAAGCUUGCUUUCCUUGUCGACGACCGGCGCACGGGUGAGUAACGCGUAUCCAACCUGCCCCCAACUAGGGAAUAACCUUGCGAAAGUAAGACUAAUACCCUAUAAUUUCCUCAGAUGUCAUCUGACGAGGAAUAAAGAUUUAUCGGUUGUGGAUGGGGAUACGUCUGAUUAGCUUGUUGGCGGUGUACGGCCCACCAAGGCAACGAUCAGUAGGGGUUCUGAGAGGAAGGUCCCCCACAUUGGAACUGAGACACGGUCCAAACUCCUACGGGAGGCAGCAGUGAGGAAUAUUGGUCAAUGGGCGGAAGCCUGAACCAGCCAAGUAGCGUGCAGGAUGACGGCCCUAUUGGUUGUAAACUGCUUUUAUACAGGAAUAAAGUUAGCCACGUGUGGUUAUUUGUAGGUACUGUAUGAAUAAGGACCGGCUAAUUCCGUGCCAGCCGCCGCAGUAA